AUUGAACGCUGGCGGCAGGCCUAACACAUGCAAGUCGAGCGGAUGACGGGAGCUUGCUCCUUGAUUCAGCGGCGGACGGGUGAGUAAUGCCUAGGAAUCUGCCUGGUAGUGGGGGACAACGUUUCGAAAGGAACGCUAAUACCGCAUACGUCCUACGGGAGAAAGCAGGGGACCUUCGGGCCUUGCGCUAUCAGACGAGCCUAGGUCGGAUUAGCUAGUUGGUGAGGUAAUGGCUCACCAAGGCGACGAUCCGUAACUGGUCUGAGAGGAUGAUCAGUCACACUGGAACUGAGACACGGUCCAGACUCCUACGGGAGGCAGCAGUGGGGAAUAUUGGACAAUGGGCGAAAGCCUGAUCCAGCCAUGCCGCGUGUGUGAAGAAGGUCUUCGGAUUGUAAAGCACUUUAAGUUGGGAGGAAGGGCAGUAAGUUAAUACCUUGCUGUUUUGACGUUACCGGCAGAAUAAGCACCGGCUAACUCUGUGCCAGCAGCCGCAGUAAAAC
rnacentral:rRNA from 1 species